CGUAGGGUGCGAGCGUUAAUCGGAAUUACUGGGCGUAAAGCGUGCGCAGGCGGUUUUGUAAGACAGGCGUGAAAUCCCCGGGCUCAACCUGGGAACUGCGCUUGUGACUGCAAGGCUAGAGUACGGCAGAGGGGGUGGAAUUCCACGUGUAGCAGUGAAAUGCGUAGAGAUGUGGAGGAACACCAAUGGCGAAGGCAGCCCCCUGGGUCGAUACUGACGCUCAUGCACGAAUGCGUGGGUAGCAAACAGGAUUAGAUACCCUGGUAGUCCACGCCCUAAACGAUGUCAACUAGGUGUUGGGUGGGUAAAACCAUUUAGUACCGGAGCUAACGCGUGAAGUUGACCGCCUGGGGAGUACGGCCGCAAGGUUA
rnacentral:rRNA from 1 species